rnacentral:rRNA from 1 species
UACGUAGGGUGCGAGCGUUGUCCGGAAUUAUUGGGCGUAAAGAGCUCGUAGGCGGUGUGUCGCGUCGGCCGUGAAAACCUGCAGCUUAACUGUGGGCUUGCGGUCGAUACGGGCAUCACUGGAGUUCGGCAGGGGAGACUGGAAUUCCUGGUGUAGCGGUGAAAUGCGCAGAUAUCAGGAGGAACACCGGUGGCGAAGGCGGGUCUCUGGGCCGAUACUGACGCUGAAGAGCGAAAGCGUGGGGAGCGAACAGG